AUUGAACGCUGGCGGCAGGCCUAACACAUGCAAGUCGAGCGGAUGAAGGGAGCUUGCUCCUGGAUUCAGCGGCGGACGGGUGAGUAAUGCCUAGGAAUCUGCCUGGUAGUGGGGGAUAACGUCCGGAAACGGGCGCUAAUACCGCAUACGUCCUGAGGGAGAAAGUGGGGGAUCUUCGGACCUCACGCUAUCAGAUGAGCCUAGGUCGGAUUAGCUAGUUGGUGGGGUAAAGGCCUAGCAAGGCGACGAUCCGUAACUGGUCUGAGAGGAUGAUCAGUCACAGUGGAUCAUGGACACGGUCCACACACCUACGGGAUGCAGCAGUCGGGAAUAGUUGACAGUGUGCCAAAGCCUGAUCCAGCCAUGCCGCGUGUGUGAAGAAGGUAUUCGGAUUGUAAAGCCAUUUAAGUUGGGGGGAAGGGCAGUAAUCUAAUACCGUGCUUUUUUGACGUUAACGGCAGAAUAAGCACCGGCUAACUUCGUG
rnacentral:rRNA from 1 species